rnacentral:rRNA from 1 species
GACGAACGCUGGCGGCGUGCUUAACACAUGCAAGUCGAGCGGUAAGGCCCUUUCGGGGGUACACGAGCGGCGAACGGGUGAGUAACACGUGGGUGACCUGCCCUCAGCUCUGGGAUAAGCCUGGGAAACCGGGUCUAAUACUGGAUAUGACUCCAUGACGCAUGUUGUGGGGUGGAAAGCCUUGUGCGGCUGAGGAUGGGCCCGCGGCCUAUCAGCUUGUUGGUGGGGUGANGGCCUACCAAGGCGACGACGGGUAGCCGGCCUGAGAGAACGAUCAGCCACACUGGGACUGAGACACGGCCCAGACUCCUACGGGAGGCAGCAGUGGGGAAUCUUGGACAAUGGAGGAAACUCUGAUCCAGCCAUGCCGCGUGAGUGAUGAAGGCC